rnacentral:rRNA from 1 species
GGGCCCGCACAAGCGGUGGAGCAUGUGGUUUAAUUCGAUGAUACGCGAGGAACCUUACCAGGGCUUAAAUGUAAGUUGCAUUAGAUAGAGAUAUCUAUUUCUUCGGACCACUUACAAGGUGCUGCAUGGUUGUCGUCAGCUCGUGCCGUGAGGUGUCAGGUUAAGUCCUAUAACGAGCGCAACCCCUGUUGUUAGUUGCCAGCGAUUCAAGUCGGGAACUCUAACAAGACUGCCGGUGCAAACCGUGAGGAAGGUGAGGACGACGUCAAGUCAUCAUGGCCCUUACGAGUAGGGCUACACACGUGCUACAAUGGGGAAUACAGACGGACGCUAAGCCGCGAGGUGGUGCU